AUCCCUUGACAUCCUGCGAACUUUCUAGAGAUAGAUUGGUGCCUUCGGGAACGCAGUGACAGGUGCUGCAUGGCUGUCGUCAGCUCGUGUCGUGAGAUGUUGGGUUAAGUCCCGCAACGAGCGCAACCCUUAUCAUUAGUUGCUAACAUUUAGUUGAGAACUCUAAUGAGACUGCCGGUGAUAAACCGGAGGAAGGCGGGGACGACGUCAAGUCAUCAUGGCCCUUAUGGGAUGGGCUACACACGUGCUACAAUGGGGGGUACAAAGAGCAGCCAACUGGCGACAGUGCGCGAAUCUCAUAAAACCUCUCGUAGUCCGGAUCGGAGUCUGCAACUCGACUCCGUGAAGUCGGAAUCGCUAGUAAUCGUGAAUCAGAAUGUCACGGAGAAUUCGUAUAGGCGGGCACU
rnacentral:rRNA from 1 species